ensembl:miRNA gmo-mir-11262 gmo-mir-11262
AGCUAGCGGUAAACAUGCAUGGUGCGUCCGCACUAUGUACGUUUACUGCUAGAUGU